UGAGGAAUAUUGCACAAUGGGCGCAAGCCUGAUGCAGCAGCGCCGCGUGCGGGACGAAGGCCUUCGGGUCGUAAACCGCUUUUCUGGGGAGAGAGCAAGGACGGUACCUCAGGGAUAAGUCUCGGCUAACUACGUGCCAGCAGCCGCGGUAAAACGUAGGAGGCGAGCGUUAUCCGGAUUUACUGGGCGUAAAGCGCACGCAGGCGGCUCCGUGAGUCGGACGUGAAAGCUCCCGGCUUAACCGGGAGAGGCCGUUCGAUACUGCGGGGCUUGAGGUAGGGAGAGGAAUGCGGAAUUCCCGGUGUAGUGGUGGAAUGCGUAGAUAUCGGGAGGAACACCUGUGGCGAAAGCGGCAUUCUGGCCCUCACCUGACGCUGAGGUGCGAAAGCGUGGGUAGCAAACAG
rnacentral:rRNA from 1 species